CUGCCGCCCUAGGCCAGCCAAUCCUGAGCCGACAGUCGUAGAGAUGUUUUCUUGGAUGAAAGAGUUCCUCGACACCUCCGUCGCGGAGAUCAAGGGGGCGGUCUCCAGCAAGAGACCCAGGCAGGCCUCGAAGGUUCCUUAAAGGUGCUCAGAGGCUUAGGCCCAGCAUCCAGAGACCAAUCCCUGAGUGGGAGCUGCCAGUGGUCCUAAGGGGGUUGUGUUCCCCCCCCCUUCGAGCCUUUGGAACAGGUAGACUUAAA